rnacentral:rRNA from 1 species
UUUUACAAUGGAGAGUUUGAUCCUGGCUCAGGAUGAACGCUAGCUACAGGCUUAACACAUGCAAGUCGAGGGGAAACGACAUCGAAAGCUUGCUUUUGAUGGGCGUCGACCGGCGCACGGGUGAGUAACGCGUAUCCAACCUGCCCA